GAACGACAACUCUCCUCCGUAAUCGAGAAUGGCCGCUCCGAAAAACGUGAAAAGGAAGCGAGAAGCUGAAGAAGAAGAUGAAUUCACGAAGAGAUUCUUGAAGGCCGACGAAGUGGCUCGUAUGGCAAAAAUUAAGAAGAAGAUGUUAAAAUUUGAGGACAUUGAUGAUGAAGCGUCUCGGGAAUCGGAACUGACCAAAUCUGGAAGGGUAAGCACUACAGCACCAGAUCUACUUGCACUUCCUGGUGGUACAUAUGUGAGGAAGAAAUCGACGAAACUUCGAGAAAUGGAGGAGUUUGAAGAAAUUGAGAAGAAGCAGACCACCACCAAAAAAAUGCCAACGGAACCCCUAAAGAAAGGAAAGAGUCAGCUUGGAGGUACCCCUUCAACAUCCCCUGUCAGUCCCAAAAAGUUGAAACCCUCCAAAUCGAAAGAACUUGGCCAAACUGCUUCUGUGAUCUCCCCGAAAAGCUCUGAUGAAACCUCUCCAAAGGGCAGCGUCAUCAAAUUCCUGCUGAGUUCACCAAUGCAGCCGGCCUCUACAUCGCUGCUAGGCAGCAGUGUCGGUCACUCCUCGACAAAGGGCAAAGAUAAAUCAGACACAAGCUUGCUGAGCGAGCAGAUUUCCUUGGUGAAAAAGACCCCUAAAUCAACCAAGUCAAAAGCAGCGGACAACAUUGCUCUUUUGAAGUCCCUCACCAGUACUUCAUCUGGCAAGUCAGGGAGAAAGAAGGGCGAACAGGACCUGAAGUUCCGACUGAUGGUUGGAUCGGGUUCCUUGCUGUCGUCAGCAUCCAGUGCUGUGAGUGCUUCAAACACAAGCUCCACCGCGAGUUCAAAACUGUCUGGGGAGACAGCCACAACAGUUCAUUCAGACAGCGGAGGUUCGAAGGAUGGCAGUUUGAAGAUGAAGUUCAUUCUGUCCCCUAAGGACAAAAGUUCUGUUAAGUCUUUGAGCAGUGGUGGCACUGCUAGUAGUGGAAGUGACAAGAAGAAAUCUUCAGAUAACCAUGUGCCAACAAUUCCGAAGACCAUCGUCGAGGCGAAGUCACUAUCAAGCAGCAGCAAGACUUCCAUCGCCACAAUCCCUUCCAUAAUUCCUGUACCCGUGCCAAAGGUUAUCCCUAUUCCAAAACCAGUGCCCAUUUCAAACACGACGGGAUCAAGGAAAGUGGCAGUCACCAAGUCGAUAGUCAUCCCAAAACUGAACCCCAGCCCCCGCGUGAUCUCAACGCCCGCCCCGAAGACCAUUCCCGGUACAAAAGUGAUCCCCGACACAAAGGAGCUGCCGAAAGUGAAGCCCAUUGAUAAAUCUGUUGCCGAGGUAAAGACCAUACCGAUCCCUAUCCCCACCACCUCGACGACCACUCCUUCGAGUACCAGCACCCUUGUCAAGCCUGUUGAUUCCAGCAUCAAAGUCGUCCCCGUCCCAAAGGCUUCGUUGCCCCCUACGAAAAUCAUUACUGUUAAGAAGACCGUGAGCACGAAAGGGAGCUCGGCUCAGAGCAAGUCUACAGGAGGGACCCCUGUGAGUGGUAAACAGAAAGGUUCCUCAACAAAGAGUUCAGCAACCCCAAAGUCAUCCACUGGUUUAUCGACAAAAGCCCCAUCGUCUUCCUCCUCCUCAUCAUCAUCAGCGGCAGCAGCACAGCCACAAGCCCCACAGCAACAACAACCAGCAUUAUCGUCAUCCUCAUCACCAUCAUCAUCGUCAUCAUCAAAGCCACAAUCCCUUCUUCCCCCGAUAAAGAAAGCCAUGUCAUCUUUAUCGUCGGCAACGUCCCUAUUCCUGUCAUCGUCAUCGUCGCUAGACGUGCCCGAAAAGAAGACGAAGAAAGUGAAGAAGAAGAAGAACAGCGCUGCCGUCGCGUCGGCAAAGGCCGGCGCUGCCACGGCAACGCCGGCGGUCAAAGGCGGCCAGACCGGCUCCGUGAAGGCGGCAAGCGGCGGGGGCUCGCAAAAGUCUCCAGGUCACGCCUCCGGGACGGUGAAGGUCAAGGCGAAAGCAGAGACCACCACUGACCUCAGUAAAUACGACUUCACCGACGAACCAAGCCUGGUGAUUGCAGAACAGCAGGGCUCCGGUUCAAAGCACGCAGCGACCCCAAAAUCGAAGAAGUCCAGCUCGGGGACCAGUGCCAGCUCCGGUGGAAGCAGCGGCAAAAGUUCCAGCAAGAAAGCCAAGGUGGACGUUGACCAGACAAAAACGAAACAGAAAGAUGAAGUUCCAGCUCUAAUGCCAACACUCGGUGCUGCUUUAGCCGGAGAUCAAAAUACAUUAGCAAGUCCCCCCUCGAAAACGAAACAGUCUUCUGAUAAAAAAUCCAAGAAAUCUAAGAAGUCGUCAGAAAAAGAAGAUCCCACUGCUACGAAGCCUGCCAAGAAGCGCCGGGCCCUAACUGCCUACAUGCUCUGGUGUAACAGCUACAGAAACAAGGUCCUCUCUGAAAACCCUAAACUCGAUUUUGCUCAAAUUAGUCGAAGACUUGGAGAAAUAUGGCAAAGCCUGUCUGAAAAAGAGAAACUGACCUGGAAGCAGAAAGCAAAGAAAGCGGCCAGCAAAGGGUCGACUCUGAUAAGAACUGGUAAAACUAAUGGCAAGACCGCACCUGUCCCUGCUGUAGCCAGCCCUCCAACGACACCAGUUGCUACUCUGAAGAGUUCACCUGUUCCUGGAGUGGUGAAGACUAUCAAAACACCGACAGAUGAUACUGCCACCAGUCCUUAUAAGGGUUUUGGUGUGGAACCCGUGGAUGCUGCCGCCCACCUGAAGCUGCUCGGAGAGUCCCUCAGCAUCAUCGGAAUGAGAUUACAGGAACACAAGGGUCUUAUCGCUGUGCAAGGAAGCCUGUCUGUGCUGCUCGACUCCAUGCUGUGUGCAUUUAGCCCGCUCGUCUGCCUCACGUCCUCCCUUCCGGAGAUCAACGGAUGUCCUCGUGCCACUCUCUCUAAGAUGCUGGACAACAUAGCCUAUAUCAUGCCUGGACUAUGAGUGGCUGAAGGUCAAAGGUCGGAAGCAGAAUGAGGCCAAGAAGAAAGAUACUGGGCAAAGUGGAAUUAAGUAUCUGUGUGUGUGCGUGUGUGUGUGUGUGCGUGUG
rnacentral:misc_RNA from 1 species